ACACUGAAAGUUUCUCUGCUUUGGGCCAGCAGGAAAUUCCAGUUGCUUCAUUCACCGGAGCCAGUUAAGCUGCUGAAAUGAAAUGGAUCACCGGAGAGAUCACUAUAUCAGGACAUAGACUUGACUUUCAGGGUUGGAGGAAGCCGGACAAAGAUGAAUGGGAUUCAGAGCCUGAACUCAAGGUCAACGUCUUCUGAAUCACAAAGAGCUGGUGGGUCAGUCUGGGAGAAGAAAGAAAAUUCUGCGCCAAAUGGGAAAACCCUUAAAGUCUGCAUAGUUUUGCUUGUCGGUAAGAACACAGGGUUGUUAUGAGGCUCAAAGGAACGGCUGCUGUGAAAAAACAUGCUUUGCAAUUUAUGAAGCACUGGAUAAACAUCAGGAACGGUAUAAAAGCAUGCUGCUUACUCAAGAAAUACUAGUUGAGUGCCUGUGUGUUGGGCACUGGCUAGAGAUAAGGGUCUCCUAUGGACAGAAGUGCGGGCAAGGAGCUUUGUUCCUCCCCGAUGUCACCCUCCCACAGCCCACUUGCUAGCAGGCAAGAGAGGGGUGGAGGCCGGCAGUAAGGCAUGUACUGAACUGGACCUCUGGUGGAAUGGGUCACCCACGCUGGGCUUGACUCUUACCAUCAGGGUCCUGCCAACCCUUCAGUGAGACUUUUUCCGAAGAAUCCCUUUUAAAAUGACCUCAAGCUGACCUUCCUGAUGCAGAUUCCACAUAUGGUAUCUGAGACUCACACAGUGUGGUUGGAAGAUAGCACAGUGACCUCCCAGGCACAGCCCUCUGCCAGCCCUCCACUGGCUGCCCUAGGAUGCUGGCCUUCCUCCGAUGGGAGUCGGGCCCAGUCUGCUGUGAGCCAGGAGAAGCCAGCAAGCUCCCUGCGAGGCCUGGAGGAGCCCUUCUCACUCAGCUUGGUGUUCGAUGCCAGUGCCCCCGCCCAUUGUGGGGUGAGGGUGGGACUCUCAGCACAGCCCUGUCCAAAUAAAUCCUCUAAAGCCCUCUUC